GUUGAAGGUCACACGCUGACAAAGCACCACAGAUCUGACUCUGACAGCUCCAGAUGUCCUGCAGUGAUUCACGGCUGCUGAACGCCAGGCCGGACACUGUUAAUGCCACCGGGAUUAUCGCAGCCGUCCCGGCGAACCAGACUCGCAGAUGCCGUAAAUCUCCUGUCACGACGUCCACUUCCAUUAGCCGUUUUUCAUCGCUCACUUAAGACGGUGUCGAGGGAGUGUUUCUUCGCCAUAACCUGAAGUGCUGAGAAAGAGGGGAAAACUUCAAGCUGAAGUGAACAUCACAAGCUCUGCGAGUCUCCAGCCUGCGGUGGAUGAAAACCCCGAGUGGAAAGGAGAAGACGCUGCACAUUCACAAGGAUAACACAAAAUCCUUCGAGAUGAACCAAGAGCGUGUGUUGGAUCUGUCUGAACGCUACUGUACAAGAUCAAACCCAACAGAAAGCAGCAGAAAACCCCCUCGUCCUGUCAGUCUUCAAUCCACAGCAGAUUCCCAAAGCUUUCUGGAGGAUUUCUGAUUUAAUGCUGGAACAUGAGGAACACUGACUGAACCUGGACUUCAGAGAUAAGAGCCGUCAAAACUAACCUUAGUUUUUAUCAGCCAGCCAGGAUUAAACUCACACACACCACACACCAGACCGGAUGUGAUGAGCAGAGGGAGAUAUCCAGGUAAAUAUACAGUUGAAGUCAGAAUUAUUAGCCCUCCUGUAUAAUU